UACGAAGGGGGCUAGCGUUGCUCGGAAUUACUGGGCGUAAAGGGCGCGUAGGCGGGUAUUUAAGUCAGGGGUGAAAUCCUGGAGCUCAACUCCAGAACUGCCUUUGAUACUGAGAAGCUUGAGUCCGGGAGAGGUGAGUGGAACUGCGAGUGUAGAGGUGAAAUUCGUAGAUAUUCGCAAGAACACCAGUGGCGAAGGCGGCUCACUGGCCCGGUACUGACGCUGAGGUGCGAAAGCGUGGGGAGCAAACAGG
rnacentral:rRNA from 1 species